rnacentral:rRNA from 1 species
GAACGGUAGCACAAGGGAGCUUGCUCCCUGGGUGACGAGUGGCGGACGGGUGAGUAAUGCUUGGGAAUCUGGCUCAUGGAGGGGGAUAACUACGGGAAACUGUAGCUAAUACCGCGUAAUAUCUUCGGAUUAAAGUGUGGGACCGCAAGGCCACAUGCCAUGAGAUGAGCCCAAGUGGGAUUAGGUAGUUGGUGGGGUAAAGGCCUACCAAGCCGACGAUCUCUAGCUGGUCUGAGAGGAUGACCAGCCACACUGGAACUGAGACACGGUCCAGACUC